CGGGGCAUAGCGCAGUCCGGUAGCGCGCUACGUUCGGGACGUAGAGGUCGUGGGUUCGAAUCCCGCUGCCCCGA
rnacentral:tRNA from 1 species